rnacentral:lncRNA from 1 species
GGCAGCUCCAGGGCACCUGGGCAACAGCCACAAGCUCUCAAAGAGCACAGGAAGAAAUCAUGUCUUUAUGCACACGUGUGUGCAUGUGUGGUAUGUAUGCAUGGUGUGUGCACGUGUGCAUGAUUGCAUUGUGUGGUGUGUAUGCAUGGUGUGUGCACGUGUGCAUGAUUGCAUUGUGUGGUGUGUAUGCAUGGUGUGUGCACCUGUGCAUUGUGUGUGUGCAUGCGUGGUGGGUAUGUAUGGUGUGUGCACGUGUGAUUCUGCAUGCAUGGUGUGUAUGCAUGGUGUGCACGUGUGCACUGUGUGGUGUGUAUGCAUGGUGUGUGCACGUGUGCACUGUGUGUGGUGUGUAUGCAUGGUGUGUGCACGUGUGCACUGGUGUGUGCAUGGUGUGUGCACGUGUGCACUGUGUGUGGUGUGUAUGCAUGGUGUGCACGUGUGCACUGUGGUGUGUAUGCAUGGUGUGCACGUGUGCACUGUGUGGCGUGUAUGCAUGGUGUGUGCACGUGUGCACUGUGUGGUGUGUAUGCAUGGUGUGUGCACGUGUGCACUGGUGUGUAUGCAUGGUGUGUGCACGUGUGCACUGUGUGUGGUGUGUAUGCAUGGUGUGUGCACGUGUGCACUGUGUGUGGGUGUAUGCAUGGUGUGUGCACGUGUGCACUGUGUGGCGUGUAUGCAUGGUGUGUGCAUGUGUGCACUGUAUGCAUGCAUGUGUGGUGUGUGUGCAUGUGUGCAUGGCGUGUGCAUACGUGUGCAGCAGCACCUGGUCCCGUCUCCAGUGCCCAGCAGCGUCACACGCACUCUGGUGUUUUAUAAAUGCAUGGUCAGUGAGGCUGACAGCAC